UACGUAGGGUGCAAGCGUUGUCCGGAUUUAUUGGGCGUAAAGAGCUCGUAGGCGGUCUGUCGCGUCGGAUGUGAAAACCCAGGGCUCAACCCUGGGCCUGCAUUCGAUACGGGCAGACUAGAGUUCGGUAGGGGAGACUGGAAUUCCUGGUGUAGCGGUGAAAUGCGCAGAUAUCAGGAGGAACACCGGUGGCGAAGGCGGGUCUCUGGGCCGAUACUGACGCUGAGGAGCGAAAGCGUGGGGAGCGAACAGG
rnacentral:rRNA from 1 species